rnacentral:rRNA from 1 species
AACGCUAGCUACAGGCUUAACACAUGCAAGUCGCGGGGCAGCAUGUCGGUUGCUUGCAACCGAUGAUGGCGACCGGCGCACGGGUGAGUAACGCGUAUCCAACCUGCCCUUUACCACGGAAUAAUCCAGUGAAAAUUGGUCUAAUACCGUAUGAGGUCAUACGAUGGCAUCAGAAUAUGACGAAAGGUUUGGCGGUGAAGGAUGGGGAUGCGUCUGAUUAGCUUGUUGGUGAGGUAACGGCUCACCAAGGCGACGAUCAGUAGGGGUUCUGAGAGGAAGGUCCCCCACAUUGGAACUGAGACACGGUCCAAACUCCUACGGGAGGCAGCAGUGAGGAAUAUUGGUCAAUGGACGAGAGUCUGAACCAGCCAAGUAGCGUGCAGGAUGACGGCCCUAUGGGUUGUAAACUGCUUUUAUAAGGGAAUAAAGUGAGCCUCGUGAGGCUUUUUGCAUGUACCUUAUGAAUAAGGACCGGCUAAUUCCGUGCCAGCAGCCGCGGUAAUACGGAAGGUCCGGGCGUUAUCCGGAUUUAUUGGGUUUAAAGGGAGCGUAGGCCGGAGAUUAAGCGUGUUGUGAAAUGUAGAUGCUCAACAUCUGAACUGCAGCGCGAACUGGUUUCCUUGAGUACGCGCAAAGUGGGCGGAAUUCGUGGUGUAGCGGUGAAAUGCUUAGAUAUCACGAAGAACUCCGAUUG